rnacentral:rRNA from 1 species
UACAGAGGGGGCAAGCGUUGUUCGGAAUUACUGGGCGUAAAGGGCGCGUAGGCGGCCUGCUAAGUCGAACGUGAAAUCCCUGGGCUCAACCCAGGAACUGCGUCCGAUACUGGUUGGCUUGAAUCCGGGAGAGGGACGUGGAAUUCCGAGUGUAGAGGUGAAAUUCGUAGAUAUUCGGAAGAACACCAGUGGCGAAGGCGACUGACUGGACAGAUAUUGACGCUGAGGUGCGAAAGCGUGGGGAGCAAACAGGAUUGAGAAACCCCA